AUCUAUGGCCAUACCACCCUGAAUGAACCUGAUCUUGUCUGAUCUUGUGAAACUAAGCAGGGUCAGGGCUAGUUAGUAGUUUUAAGGGAGAAUUAAACAAGCAGAAAAAUAGGUA
rnacentral:rRNA from 1 species